rnacentral:lncRNA from 1 species
UUUCCAUGACAAUUUACGUUCACCAUACCGUUUCCAUGACUACUUACGUUCAUCAUACCGUUACCAUGACCAGAACCAAGUUUCUUUCUUCAUCAAUCCUUUAUUUGGCAUAAUCUGGUGAUGUGUCAUCAACCGGCGGAAUAAAUCUGUCGUUCCUGAUUUACAUACACCAAAAAUGUGGAAGUAUGGAAAACAACGAAGGUGUCCAUCUUCUAUCCAACACGG